UACAGAGGGUGCGAGCGUUGUCCGGAAUCACUGGGCGUAAAGCGCGUGUAGGUGGUGGGACAAGUCUGCUGUGAAAGCGCCUGGCUUAACCGGGCGAGGUCGGCGGAAACUGUCGCACUCGAGGACGGUAGAGGGGGGUGGAAUUCCCGGUGUAGUGGUGAAAUGCGUAGAGAUCGGGAGGAACACCCGCGGCGAAGGCGGCCACCUGGACCAGACCUGACGCUGAGGCGCGAAGGCCGGGGGAGCGAACGGGG
rnacentral:rRNA from 1 species